rnacentral:rRNA from 1 species
GACGAACGCUGGCGGCGUGCCUAAUACAUGCAAGUAGGACGCAGUUGCGAACGGGUGAGUAACGCGUAGGUAACUACCUGUUAGAGGGGGAUAAAUAUUGGACACGAUAGCUAAUACCGCAUACUAGUAGAUGGACCUGCGUUGUAUGAGCUAGUAGGUAGGGUAAUGGCCUACUUAGGCAACGAUACAUAGCCUACCUGAGAGGGUGAACGGCCACACUGGGGCUUGAGCACGGCCCAGACUCCUUCGGGAGGCAGCAGUAGGGAAACUUCGGCAAUGGGGGGAACCCUUACCGAGCAACGCCCCGUGAGUUAAGAAGGUUUUCGGAUCUUAAAGCUCUUUUGUUAAGGAAGCGGUACUUAACCAGAAAGGGACGGCUAACUACGUGCCAGCCGCCGCGGUAAUAC